GGAGGGAUACCCAAGUGGCUAAAGGGGGCAGACUGUAAAUCUGUUGGCUGACGCCUUCGAUGGUUCGAAUCCAUCUCCCUCCACCA
rnacentral:tRNA from 1 species